rnacentral:rRNA from 1 species
CAGCCGCCGCGGUAAUACCGGCGGCCCGAGUGGCGGUCACUAUUAUUGGGCUUAAAGCGUCCGUAGCCGGGUUGGGAAGUCCUCCCGGAAAUCUGGCCGCUUAACGGUCAGAAUGCCGGAGGAUACUCCCAGCCUAGGGAGCGGGAGAGGCCGAGGGUAUUCCCCGGGUCGGGGUGAAAUCCUAUAAUCCCGGGAGGACCACCUGUGGCGAAGGCGCUCGGCUGGAACGCGUCCGACGGUGAGGGACGAAGGCCAGGGGAGCAAACCGGAUUAGAUACCCGGGUAGUCCUGGCUGUAAACGAUGCGGACUUUGUGUCGGACAAGCUAUGAGCUUGUCCGGUGCCGGAGGGAAACCGUUAAGUCCGCCGCCUGGGGAGUACGGCCGCAAGGCUGAAACUUAAAGGAAUUGGCGGG